rnacentral:rRNA from 1 species
CGCGUGGUUCUAUUUUGUUGGUUUCUAGGACCGCCGUAAUGAUUAAUAGGGACAGUCGGGGGCAUCAGUAUUCAAUUGUCAGAGGUGAAAUUCUUGGAUCUAUUGAAGACUAACUACUGCGAAAGCAUUUGCCAAGGAUGUUUUCAUUGAUAAGGAACGAAAGUUAGGGGAUCGAAGACGAUCAGAUACCGUCGUAGUCUUAACCAUAAACUAUGCCGACUAGGGAUCGGACGAUGUUAUUUUUUGACUCGUUCGGCACCUUUCGAGAAAUCAAAGUGCUUGGGCUCCAGGGGGAGUAUGGUCGCAAGGCUGAAACUUAAAGAAAUUGACGGAAGGGCACCACCAGGGGUGGGACCUGCGGCUUAAUUUGACUCAACACGGGGAAACUCA